GGCAGGUUUAGAGGAGGGAUUAACAUGAAUUGAGAACAGCUAAAGAGGUAAAGAAAAAAGAACCGGGCCUUUCACGGUCCAAGUCACGAAAUUAUAUGAAUGAGUCAGUCAGUGAGCAUUUAUUAAGUUCUUACCAUGUGACGCAUAAUGUUUGCAAAGAAAGGCAGAAACAGUCCUUGCCCUCAAGGAAUUUACAAUUCAAUGGGAGAGACAACAUGCAACAAUUGUGUAUAUUUGCAAAAUAUAUACAGGGUAUGUGGGGUAAUUUCAGAGGUGAGUGAGGAGGAAGGGAAAGCCAGGAAAGUCCUCUUGCAAGAAGGUGGAAUUUGCACUGAGUCUUGAAAGAAGCCAAGAGUCUGAGUGUGCUCAUCAUUUUUAGCCACACCACAAAUCUAUCCCAUUGCUGCUGGAAUCUCUCAGGGGUAAGCAGGCGAAAAGCGCGUGGGACGCCGACGCGGACGGAAUUAAUCAGGUGUAAGAAUGCGGAACAAGAAAAGACAUUAACUAUCCGCGCAGCCCUGGGCAAGCCACUUAAGUUUUCGGAGCGUCAGUUUGCUCAUCCGCAUGAUGAAAGGGGUUGAGACCUUCUAACAAUCUAAGCCCGCGCAUAGCUCUGCCAGCUGCCCGAGGAAGCGUUACUAGACAAACCAGGCUCCAGCGCCUAUGCCCCUACCCGGGGCACAUUGCAUGCUGGGAGAUGUAGUCUGGAAGAGAUAGAGCGUGUUGACGUUGUCAGGCCGAUCAACGUAACACGUUCCUACUCCUGCACGUCCCCCUUCAAUUCCUACUCCCUUCUAAGCCUCCGUCCAGUUCUCCCUCUCCCUCUACCUCUGCUCAGCCUCCGAACCCGGAGAACUUUUUACGACACACGGGAUCCCAGAGUCCUCCCCGGCGCCGGCUCGCUUUUCGGCAGAGUGAUGUGGACGUCAACAGCAAUGGCGGAAGGAGAGGAGGCAUCGCCGCCGCCAACGUCGGAUAGCGACAGCUGCUGUGUGCAGAAUGGACCGGAGAAGAGAAGGAAUGGAAACCAUGAGUCCAGUGAGGAGGCUGUUGCAGUCCAGGUGAGAGCUGAUAAGGAGACUGAACAUGUCUGAAAAGAGAAUGGGAGGGAUUUAAAAGAUGUUUAGCUCAUGCAACCAAGUCAGCUGGGUCCCAACUAGGCAAAAAUUUCUUUUAUCUCAUUUCAAACAGGUCUUCAAUGCAGAAAGGCAGUCCUUUUAUGCCUCCACUGAGAGUUCCACCAUCUCCUUAGUCACUUAGGUUUGAAACCUGAGAGCCCCUCCAUGACACUUCACUCUCACUCCAUAUGUCCAGUAAAUUGCCAAAUCUUAUUUCUUUCUCCACAUCAUCUGUCAUGUUCCCUUCUUCUACCCACACAGCCAUCAUCCUAGUUCAAGCUUUCAUCACUUCUCACCUGGACUUAAUAGGUUUUUGUUUUUUGGUUUUAGGCAGUUGGGGUUAAGUGACUUUCCCAGGGUCACACAGCUAGUAAGUGUCAAGUAUUUGGUCUGAGGCUGGAUUUGAACUCAGGUCCUCCUGACUUUAGGGCUGGCACUGUAUCCACUGUGCCACAUAGCUGCCCUCUGGACUUAAUAGGUUUUUAAUGGCCUCAAGUUUCUUUCUGUUCUAAUCUGUUCUCCCGCCAGCUUCUAAAGUGAUUAUCCUAAAGCAUAGUUCUGCCCUUGUCAUACCCUCCUGGACUCCAGUGGCUCUUUGUUACUUCUAGGAUUAAAACUAGGAAGAAGCAUGUGGGAACCUUUGUUCAGUUCUCCCUCUUGGACAGUCUUCGCUCCGUGAAUAAAGUUUCCGACAUAUUUUUUCCUUCCUCUUUC
rnacentral:lncRNA from 1 species